AGAGUUUGAUCAUGGCUCAGAUUGAACGCUGGCGGCAUGCUUUACACAUGCAAGUCGAACGGCAGCACGGGUGCUUGCACCUGGUGGCGAGUGGCGGACGGGUGAGUAAUACAUCGGAACGUGUCCUGAAGUGGGGGAUAACGCAUCGAAAGAUGUGCUAAUACCGCAUAUACUCUGAGGAGUAAAGUAGGGGAUCGAAAGACCUUAUGCUUUUGGAGCGGCCGAUGUCUGAUUAGCUAGUUGGUGGGGUAAUUGCCUACCAAGGCGACGAUCAGUAGUUGGUCUGAGAGGACGGCCAGCCACACUGGGACUGAGACACGGCCCAGACUCCUACGGGAGGCAGCAGUGGGGAAUUUUGGACAAUGGGCGCAAGCCUGAUCCAGCAAUGCCGCGUGAGUGAAGAAGGCCUUCGGGUUGUAAAGCUCUUUCAGUUGAGAAGAAAAGAUUGUAACUAAUAAUUACAGUUCAUGACGGUAUCAACAGAAGAAGCACCGGCUAACUACGUGCCAGCAGCCGCGGUAAUACGUAGGGUGCGAGCGUUAAUCGGAAUUACUGGGCGUAAAGCGCGCGUAGGCGGUUUUUUAAGUCAGAGGUGAAAGCCCAGUGCUCAACACUGGAACUGCCUUUGAAACUGGAAAACUUGAAUCUUGGAGAGGUCAGUGGAAUUCCGAGUGUAGAGGUGAAAUUCGUAGAUAUUCGGAAGAACACCAGUGGCGAAGGCGACUGACUGGACAAGUAUUGACGCUGAGGUGCGAAAGCGUGGGGAGCGAACAGGAUUAGAUACCCUGGUAGUCCAA
rnacentral:rRNA from 1 species